GCCACUUAGGAUUCUGAAAGUAUGGGCACAUGCUGUUAGCAUUUUUGUCUAAGCUCCACCCCACAGUUACCUGGCAACAGCCAGGUAAGCCUGACUCACUAUAAAAGGGGCUGCUUGCCUGCUCCACUCUCCCUUGCUUGCCUUCUUGCUUCUGCUCUGUCCUCUCCUCCCUUCCCCCUCUCCUGGCAUUCCGUUCCCCAGGCCCUUCCACGAGCUCAUGGCCGAACUCUACUUCUCUACUCCUCCCUCCCCGUACCCUGAAGAAACUCUGUUCUAUACUAUACCGUACUAUACCAUUGCAUUUGUCUAGUCUCUCAGGGGGACGGGAUGCCUCAGCAUGAACCCGCUGAGGUUCAGGGCCUGUGUCAGUAAGCCUGGGCCCGGGGUGCCAAGCAUUUGUGGACUCUCGAAUCAAGGUUUGGGAAUGGGAACCAGGUGUGCCCGACUCUGCCAGGUGGCUGUGGUGGCCUUCCUGGGAUCAACUCAACUCAGCCAAGGCUCUUGGGUGGCACGGGAGAGCAGGUGUUAUAAAUCGUGCUUCUGUGAAGAAGGCUGUGCAGUAUCAUUUGAGGAUACAUUUGCAGUUCCUUUAGCUAGAUAACUUUAUGCCCUUGAAUCCACACAAUCUGGAUGACUUUCUUUGCAUCAUCACUGGAAAUUCCUUGUGUGAGUGAGGAACUCCUGUCAGUGGGACCGGCUAAGCAGGGGCUCAGACACCAACUCCUUGGAAGCUCCUGAUGAGAACAAAUCAUGCCACGUGGUCUCUGGUCUUUCCCAACACCCACUGAGCUUCUCUGGAGUCCUUUCUUGCUUGUGGCCACCCAGGGAUUUUGCCUGUAAAGGAUUUUAUCCAUCCAUGCUACUUUUACUUUGGUUUUGUCUAUGGAAUAAAUAUGUCUUAAGAA